rnacentral:rRNA from 1 species
UACGAAGGGGGCUAGCGUUGCUCGGAAUCACUGGGCGUAAAGCGCACGUAGGCGGAUCUUUAAGUCAGGGGUGAAAUCCUGGAGCUCAACUCCAGAACUGCCUUUGAUACUGGGGAUCUCGAGUCCGGAAGAGGUGAGUGGAACUCCGAGUGUAGAGGUGAAAUUCGUAGAUAUUCGGAAGAACACCAGUGGCGAAGGCGGCCAACUGGCCCAUUACUGACGCUGAGGUGCGAAAGCGUGGGGAGCAAAAGGG